rnacentral:rRNA from 1 species
UGGGGAAUAUUGCGCAAUGGGCGAAAGCCUGACGCAGCGACGCCGCGUGAGGGAAGAAGGCCUUCGGGUCGUAAACCUCUGUCUAGAGGGAAGAAACCAUUGAGGUCGAACAGGCCUCUUUGCUGACGGUACCUCUGAAGGAAGCACCGGCUAACUCCGUGCCAGCAGCCGCGGUAAUACGGAGGGUGCGAGCGUUAAUCGGAAUCACUGGGCGUCAAGCGCACGUAUGCGGUGUCGUAAGUCGGAUGUGAAAGCCCGCGGCUCAACCGGGGAACUGCAUUCGAUACUGCGAUGCUUGAGGGCCGGAGAGGGUGGCGGAAUUCCAGGUGUAGGAGUGAAAUCCGUAGAUAUCUGGAGGAACACCAGUGGCGAAGGCGGCCACCUGGCCGGCAACUGACGCUGAGGGACGAAAGCGUGGGGAUCAAACA